UACCUGCAGCCCGAGUGGUGGCCGUUAUUAUUGGGCCUAAAACGUCCGUAGCCGGCUGAGUAGAUGCCUGUGUAAAUCGAACGGCUUAACCGUUCGAACUGCGGGUAGACCGCUCAGCUUGGGACCGGGAGAGACACGAAGUACUCCGGGGGUAGAGGUGAAAUUCUGUAAUCCUCGGGGGACUACCGGUGGCGAAGGCGUCGUGAUAGAACGGCUCCGACGGUGAGGGACGAAGCCCUGGGGCGCAAACCGG
rnacentral:rRNA from 1 species